rnacentral:rRNA from 1 species
UACAGAGGGUGCAAGCGUUAAUCGGAUUUACUGGGCGUAAAGCGCACGUAGGCGGCUUUGUAAGUUAGAGGUGAAAGCCUGGGGCUCAACUCCAGAACUGCCUUUAAGACUGCAUCGCUUGAAUCAUGGAGAGGCGGGUGGAAUUCCGAGUGUAGAGGUGAAAUUCGUAGAUAUUCGGAAGAACACCAGUGGCGAAGGCGGCCCGCUGGACAUGUAUUGACGCUGAGGUGCGAAAGCGUGGGGAGCAAACAGG